GACGAACUGUGCGAACGUUGUUCGGAAUCACUGGGCUUAAAGGGUGCGUAGGCGGCUCGUUAAGUCGGGGGUGAAAUACUUCGGCUCAACCGGAGAAUUGCCUUCGAUACUGGCGGGCUUGAGGAAGGUAGGGGUCGCGGGGAACGUGCCAGUGGAGCGGUGAAAUGCGUUGAUAUUGGCAGGAACGCCGGUGGUGAAGACGCGCGGCUGGACCUUUUCUGACGCUGAUGCACGAAGCCAGGGGAGCAAACGGG
rnacentral:rRNA from 1 species